rnacentral:rRNA from 1 species
AUUGAACGCUGGCGGCAGGCCUAACACAUGCAAGUCGAACGGUAACAGGAAGCAGCUUGCUGCUUUGCUGACGAGUGGCGGACGGGUGAGUAAUGUCUGGGAAACUGCCCGAUGGAGGGGGAUAACUACUGGAAACGGUAGCUAAUACCGCAUAACGUCGCAAGACCAAAGAGGGGGACCUUAGGGCCUCUUGCCAUCGGAUGCGCCCAGAUGGGAUUAGCUAGUAGGUGGGGUAACGGCUCACCUAGGCGACGAUCCCUAGCUGGUCUGAGAGGAUGACCAGCCACACUGGAACUGAGACACGGUCCAGACUCCUACGGGAGGCAGCAGUGGGGAAUAUUGCACAAUGGGCGCAAGCCUGAUGCAGCCAUGCCGCGUGUAUGAAGAAGGCCUUCGGGUUGUAAAGUACUUUCAGCGGGGAGGAAGGGAGUAAAGUUAAUACCUUUGCUCAUUGACGUUACCCGCAGAAGAAGCACCGGCUAACUCCGUG